CAAAGUUAUGUCUAGGUCUUAACCACUUUCUCUUCUUACCAAUCAACAAUCUUGCUUGUCGUAGGAGGUGUUUCCUAGAAGUACUGGGACAUGCAGAUUCUUCUGGCAAUUACUCUCUUCAGAUAAAGAAAGGUAUUCUAUUGAUGCAUGAAGAUCACCAGUAUGAGAAAAUAGAGUCAUCUGAUAAAACAGAAAUGGAAGGAAUACAAGAAUGA
rnacentral:lncRNA from 1 species